UCCGUGGUGGAGAGACAGAGCUUGUGGCCUUCCUUGAUAGGCAGAUCCUUUUGCACGAGGCUGUUACCCACGCUGAGACGACGGCCCACUGUGGUCACUUGGUGAUAGAACUGUUUGCCUGUGAUUUUGUGGUCAAAGCCCAGCCAGCUGAACUUGAUCUUGACCCUGAGAGAAGGAAUGGUGAGAUUUGGUUCUAAUGGCCAGCUGAGGAAGCAGUUGACGAACACCAGUCCAGCACACGCGGCCCAUACGACCAGAAUAGUGAUGAAAGGGAAGGUGACAGCGGAGGAUGCGUAGGAGCCAAUCAUCAGGGCGAUGAAGGUGGAACGCAGGUCGCCGAACAUAUUGGGCAACUGAGACUGAACAACAACAAGAACAUUCAAUUACAUAAGAGAUGGGGAAAAAGAGAAAGCGGAGGGGUGCCCCCAUGGCGAGGAGCCAGCGGUUGCAGCUGACUGUUGCCCAACGCCUUAAAGGCCAUGCCUGUGUCGACUAGAGUGUAGUUUGACAGCCCCCAGAGUUCAUCAGUGCACAACCACAAGUCCAAAUGUAAGGAAGAGCAGCAGCAUCCAUACGGAGCCUUCAGUAGCAGGUGCUGUAGUACGUAAGACAAAUGACAGCAAUUUAAAC